AGACCAUGAUGCGGGCAUUUUCUUAAUAGCUCCUUGAACCUUUCCCAAGUUUCAUAUAAGGAUUUCUCGUCCUCUUGCGAACAUCUAUUAAUUUCAAUCAUUAAUUU
rnacentral:snoRNA from 1 species